rnacentral:misc_RNA from 1 species
UCCGGUUUAACACCGGCAGUCUCGUUAGAGUGCCCGGCCGAACCGCUGGCAACUAACGACAAGGGUUGCGCUCGUUGCGGGACUUAACCCAACAUCUCACGACACGAGCUGACGACGGCCAUGCACCACCUGUGAUCCUGCCCCGAAGGGAAACCCUGUUUCCAGGGCGGUCAGGAACAUGUCAAGCCCAGGUAAGGUUCUUCGCGUCGCGUCGAAUUAAACCACAUGCUCCGCUGCUUGUGCGGGUCCCCGUCAAUUCCUUUGAGUUUUAGCCUUGCGGCCGUACUCCCCAGGCGGGGUGCUUAAUGCGUUAGCUUCGGCACGGACGGAGUCGACACCGCCCACACCUAGCACCCAUCGUUUACGGCGUGGACUAC